AUUUUGGAAAGCAUUAUUUCUUAUUUUCUUUAAAUUUGGGUGAUAUAAUUUGUUCACCAAGGAAAAGAAGAUAAAAUGGUAUAUCAUUAUGCAGUGUGAAAUUAUUACGUAUCUUUCCUGGAUGAGGGUUGCAAAAAGUUGUUAAACUUUGAUUGCAAAUUAUGUACGCGUUAAUGUAAUGUGACCGACUAUCACCCAAUUCUGCAUUUUAAAACUUCGUAUGAACUAAUUUACCUUUUUAAAUUGUUGUUUAUAUAUUAAUUUUGUAAGAACAUUAAAAAGUUUAUAGAAUUUAUGCAUAGCCCUUAACCAAGAACAAUUGUGU
rnacentral:lncRNA from 1 species